AGUGAAGAAACCUGUUCCGGGCCUCCGCAGGGUGAGCGUGGGCAGGCCCCUGCCGGGAAAGGGGCGGCUUAACCCGAUUCCAUUGCUCCCAGACCGGAUGCAGCCCCGUGACUAGGGCGGAGGCCGGAGAAACGCGCGCCCUGGGCGCAGCACCUGUGUGUCCUCUAGGGCAACGUUGGCUUUGGCAGUGAUAAGACUAGGGGCUCUAGGUCAGCGAUCACCCGGCUUGCGACUUCCGGCUGCUAAAUCAGGCGAGCGGGCGCGGCGGCCGCCAAUCAGCUGACAAGUAGAACUGGAGGGGGCAGUGGACACCCAGUAGGUGCCGAGGAAGGGUCCAGAUGCGCCAACAGUAGGAGCUGGGCGUGACUGCAGAUGGAGCCUGAGAGAGGUGAAGAGCCGACAGAGCCUUGGGCUUCUAGAGACGUCAUCUCACUUCAUGCUCCCGGAAUUCCCAUUGCAGAGAUGAAGACACGGAACCUCCCUGAGACUGGGAGAUUCACCCAGAGUCGCUUUACUUCAAAAACAAUACAAUGCUCAUCAAAGGUUACUAUGCCACCAUAUGUUUUUAACGUUGUAAUUCCAGCAUCUAGUUCAGGAGAGACAUCACAGAUUUAGUGGAUUGGGAUUUUUUUUCUUUUUUGCUAAGGAAAGGGCUUGGUGACUAUAAGUGACUUGCCCAAGGGCACCCAGGUGAGUGGUAUGGCUGGCCUGCUCCAGAACCAGUCAGUACACCCUGCUUAAAGCUCUGCAGACAACACCAGGCAGCUUGAUUUGCUGUAAGCCUCUUAAAACCCGUCCUGAGCAAUUGGUACAGCCUUCGCACACCCCAGUAUUGUUAGCGCAGGCAGGAGGCUGGGUGCCGCCCGCACAAUAGCUUCUCUUUCAUGCCCUCUGAAAGGAGCCCAGAACACUCCAGUCAGACAGCGAGGGAAGGGUGCAGGAGGAAGCCUUCUCUCAGUCAGGCCAGGCCUUGCAGCGCCUCCCCUGUUUCGAUGCGCAGUUUCAAGGUUUCACUUUGGCCAACGCGGUUGCUGUGGGGACACAGCAACAAAUACUGGGAGGCUGGUAACCCCUCCCCCAACCCUCCCCCAACCAAGCCUAGUAAAGAAUGUUUGGGACGAAGCCCCAGCCCAUCAGGCUGCUGUAUGCAGCUCAAUGCAGCCUUUGUGACCGGCCUCCUGGCCUGCCACCAGGCUCCAAAGAGAUGAUUGGACUCAGAUCUUUCUUCAUUUGUGUUUGUGUUUCAGUUGUCCACAAGGAGGGGCGGGGGAACGCUCUACAUAACUCUAAGGAAAUCAUCCAGCCUGUGGCUGAUUGUCAAGACAAAAAUGAUGCCAAGUCUUGCUUUGCAAAUGGCAUUCAGGAGAGCCUCACAGGAACAAGGCAAGUCAGCUCUCCCUGAGCGUGGGACGUGGGACGUGCGGGGAGCUCCCUGCUCUCCCCGGGUCCUCACCCUGCACAGCCAGAGACGCCUGUGCAGUCGCUCCCAGCUCGCAGAUGAGGAAGUCCAUGCUCACAGACGGACCACGAGCUGCCACGGGUCAUCACGCUAAACAAUGGGGCUGCUGAGGCUGACAUGUCCCAUCAUUGUGAAGUUUAUUAGUAUUUCAGUAAAAUUUCCUAGAUUUCUGUUGCCAUGGCGGGCGACUUUUCAGAGCCUCUCACCUCGUGCAGAGCCGAGUCAGUCUUGAAAGAAAAAGAAUACAGUGAACCAGAGAAAUUAAGCCUCAGCUGGGAGUUAAUUUUCUUGGUUCACGGGAACUUGGUAUGCUUUCUUAUCACUGCAGGCCAGGCGUUUGCGUGAUCUUUCCAGAAUGUGCCAGCCCACGGAUUACCAUCUGGCUCCACUUCUGUUUUGGGGGCAAGGAGGUGGGGAAGGAAACUUGACUUAACAGCAGGUGUUACUUUGAGGGCUAGAAAGCUACCAUUGUCUCCUCUGCAAUAAAUGGCCUGGUUUUCACCUGCCAGCAAAGCGCAAAUUCAGCCCCCAUUAAAGUACCGAGUCAUUACUUCAUUAAUUUAGUAAGUCUUUAUUAAAUGCCUAUUGAGGGUCAGGCACUGGGUUGGGUACGGGGGACAGAGAAAUGAAUAAUGUUUGUUUAGCAAGGAUUGAUUGAAUGUCUGCUCUGUGCUAGGUGCGGUGUUAGGCCCUGGGGACCCUACUCUUUCUGUCUCCUCAGGGAGCUGUUCGUGGAUAAGGCAAGUAAACAGCCACUGGACGCGGGAAGGAUGACUUGUUCACCUGUCAGUACAGGAUGCAAGGGGAAGGACCAGAAAGGGCAGCUGAGUGUUGCCAUGGAACUAAGUUCGGGUCCAUGGGUUGUAAGCGGCGAAAGUGGUGUGUGAGACUUCUGGGGAGUGCGCUUAACUGCAGGACACAUGCCCUCCAUCCUGCUCGCCCUCCGUCUGGUUGGAAGGAGCAGCCAUGCUGGGCCAGAGGAUGGAAACCAUGCUUGAAGGAUGGCAGAGCAACAAGAUGGAAGGAGCCUGGGUCUCAGCCACCGUGGAGAGCUAUCAUCUCCCUCUGGGCUUCUUUUCCGAGUGAAAGAAUUAAACCUCAUGAUUACUGUCAAAAGCAGCUGCCCAUAAUCCUAACAUCCCUGGAGUCAGAGAAGCCCAAGUCUAAAUUCUUCUCAGGAUGUGGGAUUUUCAAAGAUUUGUGUGGGUCUAUAUUUCAAAUAAACUAAUUUUGUUUUUUAAAAAGAAAUACAUUCAAAUGAUUAAAAAAUAAUUCAAACACAAAUUUUAGAUGAUGAAAAAUUAUUUAGCCUCUCUUUGCCUCUGUUUCUUGCUCUGUAAAAUGGGACUAACAAUACUUAAAUGAAUGUGUGUGUGUGUGUGUGUGUGUGUGUUGGAAUAGCCAUUAGCACAGGGCUACAAACAGUAAGUGCCCAAUAACUCUUGCUUUCUGUCCUACAUCCCAGUAUGUGUCAGACACUACACCACCCAGAGAGCUAAAGGUGCACAAGAAAGAGUCCCUUGUCUUCUGGAAGAUCAAGUAGAAUUGAGUAGAUAAGCUCUGUAGGAAAACACAACAUCCAACACAAUGAGUGCCCCAAAGAGGUGCAAAGAAUUUGUUGGAUAAGAAUCAAAGUCACGGAGUGACUUUGGAGUCAAGCAGACCGAUGUUGGAACUCUCACGAGGUGUGUGAGUGUGGACAGCUUAGCUCUCCUUUCUGAGUCUCAGUUUCCACGCCUAUGAGAGGAAUAAUAGUAUUCAUGACCAUGUUAGAUUGUUGGAAGUAUCAAAUUAAAGGAAGAGUGUUAAAGUACUCAUCGCUAAGCCUUGACAAAAUAAAUGAUCAAUAAACGUAAUUAGUAUUAUCAUUUGGGGUUGAGGAGAUCAGGGAACGCUUCCUAAAGGAAGUGGCUUUUAAGCUCAGAUCGAAGAAUGAGUAAAACAAUGGGGAAGACUUCAAUGUGAAAGAAAGUGUAUUAUCCAGGGCGAGGAGAGCAAAGGGUAAAAGGCAGCUCCAAGGAAUAGCGACACAUAUAUUGGGCUAAAGUGAAGAAACCCAGGGAGGACAGACAGGAAGAAGACUGGGAAGGUAGGCUGAAGUGUAGUCAGUAGGGCCUUGCAUGCUGGGCCAGGGGUUUUGACUUUAUUCUCUACGUACUAGGGAGCUUUUAAAGAUUUUUUUUAAACAUAAGCAGGACAUACUUAUCAUGUGUGACAAUGCAUGUUACUUAUUUUCUUAGAGGAAGGUCAAUAAAGCAGGACUGAAAUCCCAGUCAAGACAAGAGAUGAUGAGGGCAGAAGUCAAGGUGUUGGCACUGGGAAUGGAGAGGCACAGUGGCAGGUUAGGUGUUGCCCUUCAGAUACUCUUGUGAGAGAGGGGAGUGGACCAUGUGAUGUCUCUGUAUCCACCCCAUUGUCACCCACCAGGAAGGAUUUCCCGAGUGAUAUGUUUGGCUAGCCUGAGGGACCCCUGGGCACACCGGUCCAACAGGAUAGCUCUGCUUUCUCUUCAAAUCCCAGGUUCACCUCCACCCAUGACUCAGUGUAAGAGCCUGAUGGAUUGGCCUCAAUGACCUAUGGAGAAAGGUGAGUCAUGUCCAGCAGAGCAGUGUCAUCCAACCUGAGCCAGUGGCCUCUGUUGUGGAAUCUAGAAGAAAGGUCAUCAGAACAGGUCUGAAGUUGCCUGGUUCAGUCACUAAUUGCCAGGCAACUGGUUGAACUCUGUACACUGUUUUUUCUGCAUCUAUAAAAUGAAUGUACCCCUCUGAGGUUGGAGAAAUAAAAUGAGAUAAUAAA